rnacentral:rRNA from 1 species
CGAGAAGAUAUGUAGGGCGCGCGGUGGAUGCCUUGGCAUGGGAAGCCGAUGAAGGACGUGGCAAGCAGCGAUAUUCCUGGGGUAGGAGCACACAUCCGCUAAUCCCAGGGUUUCCGAAUGGGUAAACCCGCUAGGAGCAGUCCUAGCAUCCCCUUCUUGAACACAUAGAGAAGGGGAAGACAACCCGGGGAACUGAAACAUCUAAGUACCCGGAGGAAAAGAAAUCAACAACGAGAUUCCCCUAGUAGUGGCGAGCGAACGGGGACAUAAGGCCAAACCAGUGAACGCAUAUGGGCAGCAGCCUUUGCGUCACUGGUGUUGUAGGGUCUCACAUCUGGGGUCUGCUGGUCCCAGCAUUUUUGGUAUCGGGCGAGCCGAACGGCAUGGGAAGGCCGGCGGCACAGGGUUAGAGCCCCGUAGGCCUACCCCGAAUACCCAAAUGGUUGAGAUACCUGAGUAGGGCCGGGCACGUGAAACCCGGUCUGAACCUGGGGGGACCACCCUCCAAGCCUAAAUACUCUCCCAUGACCGAUAGCGCACAAGUACCGUGAGGGAAAGGUGAAAAGCACCCCGGAGGGGAGUGAAAUAGUACCUGAAACCGCGCGCCUGCAAGGCGUCGGAGCAUAUUUAUAUGUGACGGCGUGCCUUUUGUAGAAUGAGCCAGCGAGUUGCUGGAUACAGGCGAGGUUAAGCUAGAUAAGCGAGCCAGAGCGAAAGCGAGUCCGAAUAGGGCGCAUAUAGUCUGUGUCCGCAGACGCGAAGCCGGGUGAGCUACCCGUGGGCAGGCUGAAGCGGGGGUAAGACCCCGUGGAGGGCCGAACGCACUUCGGUUGAAAACGGAGGCGAUGACCUGCGGGUAGGGGUGAAAGGCCAAUCAAACCCGGAGAUAUCUCGUUCUCCCCGAAAUAGCUUUAGGGCUAGCGUCAGCUGUUUACCCCAGGAGGUAGAGCACCAAAUCGAUGCGGGGGCUUCACCGCCUACCAAUUCGAAUUGAACUCCGAAUGCCUGUGGGUCAAGAGGCUGGCAGUCAGAGCAUGUGGGCUAAGUGGCUGUGUGCUCGAAAGGGAAACAGCCCAGACCGCCCGCUAAGGCCCCCAAGUCAUCGCCGAGUGGCAAAGGAUGUGCGUCCGCGCAGACAACCAGGAGGUUGGCUUAGAAGCAGCCACCCCUUCAAAGAGUGCGUAAUAGCUCACUGGUCGAGUGGACAUGCGCCGACAAUACACGGGGCUAAGCGAUGCGCCGAAGCGGCGGAAUAUAAUUUUUUAUAUUGGUAGGGGAGCGUCCCGUGCGGGGCGAAGCCGAAGGAUAACCGACGGUGGACUGCACGGGAGUGAGAAUGCUGGCAUGAGUAGCGAGAGACGAGCGAGAGUCUCGUCCGCCGUAAACCCAAGGUUUCCUGGGCAAGGCGAAUCCUCCCAGGGUUAGUCGGGAGCUAAGGCAAGGCCGACAGGCGUAGUCGAAGCACAGCAGGUAGACAUUCCUGCACCACGCAAGAACCGUUAUGACCAACGGGGCGACGGAUUGGGGUAGCCGAGCGGGGUUCUGGACGUCCCCGUGAUGACGUGUGGCCUGUAUCCCAGGCAAAUCCGGGAUACAUAUAAAGGUAAGGCGUCGGACGAAGCAUGUGAGUGAAGUCGGCAAGCCCGUAGUCCCCAGAAAAACCCCUAGGCAGGCGCUUGUGUGCCCGUACCGCAAACCGACACAGGUGGGUGGGUAGAACAUACCGAGGCGAUCGGGUCAACCAUGGUUAAGGAACUCGGCACAAUGGCCCCGUAACUUCGGGAGAAGGGGUGCCCUCAUGUAGGUGAUAAGCUUCGCGCUUUGAGCUGAAGGGGGUCGCAGUGAAGAGGCCCAAGCGACUGUUUAUCAAAAACACAGGACUCUGCAGAAGCCGCAAGGCGACGUAUAGGGUCUGACGCCUGCCCGGUGCUGGAAGGUCACGGGGAGGAGUUAGCUAUUAGCGAAGCUCCGAACCUAAGCCCCAGUAAACGGCGGCCGUAACUAUAACGGUCCUAAGGUAGCGAAAUUCCUUGUCGGGUAAGUUCCGACCUGCACGAAAGGCGCAACGACUUGGGCGCUGUCUCAACCAUGGACCCGGUGAAAUUCCACUAGUCGUGAAGAUGCGACUUACCCGCGGAAGGACGGAAAGACCCCGUGAACCUUCACUGCAGCUUGGCAUUGGCCGCUGGCCCGUCGUGUAGAGGAUAGGCGGGAGGCUUUGAAGCUUGGGCGCCAGCCUGAGUGGAGCCACCCUUGGAAUACCGCCCUCGACGCGCUGGCGUCCUAACCCCACACCGUCUAUCCGGGUGGGGGACCGUGCCAGGUGGGCAGUUUGACUGGGGCGGUCGCCUCCUAAAAGGUAACGGAGGCGCGCGAAGGUCCGCUCGGGACGGUCGGCAACCGUCCUUUUGAGUGCAAGAGCAUAAGCGGGCUUGACUGCGAGGCCUACAAGCCGAGCAGGUGCGAAAGCAGGCUCUAGUGAUCCGGCGGCCCCACGUGGGAGGGCCGUCGCUCAACGGAUAAAAGGUACUCCGGGGAUAACAGGCUGAUCUUGCCCAAGAGUCCACAUCGACGGCAAGGUUUGGCACCUCGAUGUCGGCUCAUCGCAUCCUGGGGCUGGAGCAGGUCCCAAGGGUAUGGCUGUUCGCCAUUUAAAGCGGUACGCGAGCUGGGUUCAGAACGUCGUGAGACAGUUCGGUCCCUAUCCUCCGCGGGCGUAGGAGAAUUGCGGGAUGCUGCCCCUAGUACGAGAGGACCGGGGUGGACGGACCUCCGGUGAACGGGUUGUCAACCAAUGGCAUGGCCCGGUAGCCGCGUCCGGAUCGGAUAACCGCUGAAGGCAUCUAAGCGGGAAGCCGUUCCCAAGAUGAGUUCUCCUUUUGGUAAGGGCCCAGGUAGAACACCUGGUUGAUAGGCCGCAGGUGUACGGUUGGUAACAGCCUCAGCCAAGCGGUACUAAUCGCCCGAGCUCUUACUCGCU